rnacentral:rRNA from 1 species
AACGAACGCUGGCGGCGUGUGUAAGACAUGCAAGUCGCACGGAGUCAUUGAUGUAGCAAUACCUUGAAGGCUCAGUGGCGCACGGGUGAGUAACACGAGAAUGACAUGCCCUGCAGAGGGGGAUAGCCCAGGGAAACUUGGAUGAAUACCCCAGGGUAGCGCAAGAUCAAACGGUGGCCGCAAGGCUGUCGCUUCGGGAUGGGUUCGCGCCCUAUCAGCUAGCUGGCGGGGUAACGGCCCACCAAGGCUACGACGGGUACCUGGUCUGAGAGGACGAUCAGGCACACUGGAACUGAGACACGGUCCAGACACCUACGGGUGGCAGCAGUCGAGAAUAAUUCACAAUGGGGGCAACCCUGAUGGUGCAACGCCGCGUGGAGGAUGAAGGUCUUCGGAUUGUAAACUCCUGUCAUCCGGGAGCAAGACCUGACGGUGAAAAGCCGGCAGGGUUGAUAGUACCGGAAGAGGAAGGGACGGCUAACUUCGUGCCAGCAGCCGCAGUAAGAC